rfam:Phytophthora infestans T30-4 supercont1.4 genomic scaffold, whole genome shotgun sequence.
AUUCUGGUGUUUUUUAACACCACCCUUUUUAAAAGAACAGUCAAA